GGCUGAAUCAUUAGAAUUUUGUCAUUUGAUUGCAAUUAAAUUUUCGAACUGAACUACUCUAUUCAAGCAAGCAACUACUGAGAUAUUCAUAAGCAACGAAUUUGAGCAAAUUUAGCAGCCAAACUUGUCCUAUAUAAAUAUGUCAUAAAGAUGCUAAUAUGCCAGAUGUUUGAUUAAAAAUAGGGCCAUAGGAAUGAGCCCCUCAGAUGAUCUGAAAAAUGGAAGUGGGGACUCUUUGUGCAUUUCCCCUGGUAUGAGAAUUAGUCCCUUGUGAAAGAUUAGGAUAAUGAAAUAUAAUGUUUGUAUGUAUGUGGUGAUUCUACUAAAGGACGAAAGUUAGGCGAUGAAGACAUGUGACGGUAUAUCGUCCUUUUGCCAGGAUCGUGUGAUGAACGGAAACAAUGGCUGCCUCUUAAAAUUAAUGAGACGAUAUAGAGAAUCAGAUAUUUUUUAAGUUUUUCCAAUUUAGUCAUGUACUUUCACAAGAGGUAACGGGUCUAAUCAUGAUCAUCGUCAUUGGUAUAUCGAGUAAAUGCAUCCACAUCAACUAGUAUAGAUCACGGGCAUAUUUCGCAAGUUGGUCCCCAUUAGUAUCAAUACCUAAGCAUCUUCAGCUUAUUAUGCAUUUAAAUGGGUCUGUCCUUCCGAUUGGCCUUUCUUUUAGAAAUAACCGUAGGUACCCCUACAUGGUAUGGGAUGAAAUCUUUUACUUUUAAAUUUCCAGUCAUCGUGUUAUUGCGGGUUAUUACCAUAUAUGUGUUUUAUCUAAGCUUAAAAGAAGGUUAAUAUAAAUAUUUUUUUUCUAGUUUGGACGAAAGAGAAAAUUAGAGGAAACCAUACUAUUUUAAUUAAGCACCAUCACAACCUGGAUGUGUUUUUCAGGCUCCUCCAAGAGAGAAUGGGGGAAUUGCUCUAUGAUGUUCCAAAGGUUGGGUUUUCACCCAUUAAAAUGAUACGUGAGCUCGCUUUAGAACAUUGCGAGAUAAUUCGAUCCAUAUUCGGUGUGGGUGUUAGAGCAUUGAGAGGAUUUUCUCCUAUUACGAUAGGAUCGGGAAGGAUGCCCUCUGGUGUAUAUCACAAAAGUCUUUUCAAACGGGGAAUUUCGUAAGUCCAUUUAGUUAUCUGAUUUGGCUUGUUCUUGUUAUUCCGAGCCCUUUUGUUGUUUCUUAACCUCCAUUAGUAAGUUAUCUGAACCCUCUUCCUAUAAAGAAGUUGUUCUCGAUCCUCUUUGGCAACAGACUAUCGCUAAUGAACUAUAUGAUCUAUACAAGACAGACACUUGAGACUUGGUUACAUUACCUUCAGGUGAACAUGCUAUUGGUUCUCUUUGGGUUUAUAAGAUUAAAAUCAAAUCCGACUGUUCAGUUGAGUGUUCAACGGCUAAGAUUGGUUGCUAAGGAUUUUAAUCAACGGUAUGGUCUAUAUUAUGAGACUUUUGCUCCUGUUGCCAAGAUGACCAUUGUUUAUAGACUUAUUGCAAUUGCAUAUAUUCGUUAGUGGAGUCUCUCUUAGUUAGAUGUCAAAAAUGCAUUUAUGAAUGUAAAUCUUCAAGAAGUUUAUAUAGUUCCUUCUCCUUGUCUUUUUCACAAUCCUGGAUAUAUUUGCAAAUUCAAGAAGGCAAUUUGUGGCCCCGAACAAUUACUCGUGCUCGAUUUGAGAAAUUUUCCACUUUUGUGGCUUCUUUUGAUUUUACAUCCAUUCAUCAUGACUCUACCUUAUUCUUUAUAUGCAGUUUAGUUGGUCCCAUUCUACUUUUACUGUAUGUUAAUAAUAUGAUUAUUACUAGUGAUGAUGUUAAUAAGAUUGCAGAUUUGAAAUCAAAAUUGGUUUGUCGUUUUGAAAUGAAUGACUUAGGUACAUUAUCUUAAUUUUUGGGAAUCGAAGUUGCUUAUUUUCCUGGAGGUCAUCUUCUCUCUUAAUCCAAGUAUGCUAUUUAUAUUAUUGAGCGUGCUCGUCUUACUAAUCCUAAAACUACCGAUACCUUUAUUGAGUCCAACGCACGUUAUUCACCCUCUAAAGGUAUACCCUUUUCUGAUCCCAAUUUGUAUCUCACAACUAUAGGAUGUCUGAUUUAUCUUACCAUCACAUGCUCGAUUUGCUUAUUUUGUUCACAUUAUUAGUCAGUUUGUUUCAACUCCUACUACAAUUAACUGGGUAGCUACUGUUCAUAUUUUGCACUAUCUUCAUGGUAUUUUCUUUCAGAGUCUUUUGUUUUCUUCGACCUCCUCUUUAGUGCUCUGUGCCUAUUCUAAUGCUAAUUGGGACAAUAAUCUCAUUGAUCGUAAGUUCACUACUCAUUUUUGUAUAUUUUUUGUUGAUUUCCUUAUUUCUUGGAAGAGUAAGAAAAAGAUUGUUGUUUCUUGUUAUCAUGUUAUGGCUUCAACAACCAUGGCUACAUUGGCUAUUUGCAGACAUGGGUGUUCCUUCAUCCUCUCCAAUCCAUGCAUUGUGAUAAUGAAAGUACUAUUCAAAUCUCUCAUAACUCUGUGUUCUAUAAGCGCACUAAACAUAUUGAGAUUGAUUGUCAUCGAUUUGCCAUCAUUUGCAGACUGACACUAUUUUCUUACCUUAUGUUUCUUCAUCAUUGUAGCUUGCUAACUUUUUCACGAAAUGUUAUCCAGUUCAUGGUUUUCGCUUCUUGCUUGACAGGCUCCCACUGCUUCUUGUUGUAGUAUUGUGAGUUAGAGGGAGGGGAUGCUAGCAUAAUUAGUAUAAUAAUAAUGAUACUACAUCAUACUAUUAUUAGUUAUAUUAUUUAGUUUCCUUAUUUUUUAGGUUAUCUUGCAGUAUAUAAACUUAUGUUAUUCCAUUAUUUACUCUAAUUUUGG
rnacentral:lncRNA from 1 species